rnacentral:lncRNA from 1 species
UUUCUCUCGGCCUCAGCCUUGUCUGUUCUCACUACAUUUGGCCAUGAGGUUUCUCAGUCCCUGGGCUACACUGUCCAUUCUGGCAGCAGCUGGUGGAUGUGCCUUGCAGUUUGGGUACCCGGCUGUGAUCAUGGAUUGAAUCCGGCCCCCUGAAUCCUUGUGUGUUACCCUCCCCUGGGUAUGGGGGCUGGGGUUUCCCAGUGACUGUGUCCCCUCUGGGCAGAGGGCAGCUCAGCAGCCAAGGGUUCCCCCACUCUGUCACUGCCACCAGAGAACUGCCCUGGCCACCGCCCCCCGGUUUUAUUUCUCACACACGGUGCUGCCAGUCUGUGCCCGCUACUGGAGCAGCGUGCCUUUCCUCCUCAGAGCACACCAACCCGAGAGGUUGUUUCUAUGAUCAGUUUUUCCAUCUGGAGAGACUGAGGCAUGCGGAGGUAAAACAACUCCGUCAAACACGGAAUCUGAGCUCCAAGGGACACAGCCACAGCAUGGGGGCAGGUCAAGGCCACUGUCAACCCACAGAGUAGUCCUUCAGGGGUCAGCAGCCCACCUUGGUGCCUCGCCCAUCCUUGUCCCCUAGGAAGGUCCUCUUCUACCUCCUGAAGCUGCAGCCUUCUGAGUUCUCCCUACAUGAGGCUCUGUGUGCAGCUGGGGCCCUCGCUGGGUCAGCUUCGGGGUCUACUCCUCCCGCAGGGUUUCUGCAGCAGCCCCUGCAUGUCUCCUCCAGCCCACCCCUCCUUCUUAGCACCCCAGGCAGCCUUGGCCCCGAGCCCCACCCCCUGCCUGAGAAAGCACAGCCUGGGAAGGGCUGCGGAGGAUGCCACGGCGGCCGGGUGUCCUGCCUCCUGCAUGCCACGUGGGGUCCACCAGUGCUUGCUCAGGGACUGGUUGCCAUUGUCAUCCGUGAAUCACCUCUGCAAGGCCUGGCUCUCGGGUUCCAGCUCCCAGUCUCACCCAGUGGAGGUCACUCGCUGCUUUGGCAGGAGGAGAACCGGUGCUCUGGGCCAGGCUUCCAGCCAAGGAUGCUGA